rnacentral:lncRNA from 1 species
UUUUAACCGUAGGCAACAUCGGAGGGUCAUCGAGGGACAAAGUUGUAUAUUCGAAGGCACAUCCGAGGGACUAUAAUUUAUUUUAUGAUGAUUUAACCGAAGGGUCUUUGCUAAGGGUAUCCCCACGUUCGCGGGACAUGACCGUAAUAUCGUAAUCGUAAGCACAAAAGAGAGGUCAAGAUCACUUAUUCAAAGGCAAAGUUUUACAAUUAAUUAUAUAAUUAGGAUGAAACUCCACAUUAAAAUUAUUAAAAAUAAUAUAUUAAAAAAAUUAAUACAUUAGAAAUUAAUACAUUAAAAAUUAAUUUAGGGUGAAACUCCACAAGGGUAUCCCACAACUAAAGUGGAAUACCUAGCCAAUAACCUUUUCCUGGGAUAUGCGAACCUUUACGAAACUCAAAAAAAAAAAAGAAACAUGUCAGAACACCAAAUCAGGGUGCAAUCGAAGAUUACACCGGAGAAAUAUC